CCUACGGGUGGCAGCAGUAGGGAAUCUUCCACAAUGGGCGAAAGCCUGAUGGAGCAACGCCGCGUGGGUGAAGAAGGUCUUCGGAUCGUAAAACCCUGUUGUUAGAGAAGAAAGUGCGUGAGAGUAACUGUUCACGUUUCGACGGUAUCUAACCAGAAAGCCACGGCUAACUACGUGCAAGCAGCCGCGGUAAUACGUAGGUGGCAAGCGUUAUCCGGAUUUAUUGGGCGUAAAGGGAACGAAGGCGGUCUUGUAAGUCUGAUGUGAAAGGCUUCGGCUUAACCGGAGUAGUGCAUUGGAAACUGGGAGACUUGAGUGCAGAAGAGGAGAGUGGAACUCCAUGUGUAGCGGUGAAAUGCGUAGAUAUAUGGAAGAACACCAGUGGCGAAAGCGGCUUGCUGGUCUGUAACUGACGCUGAGGUUCGAAAGCGUGGGUAGCGAACAGGAUUAGAUACCCCUGUAGUC
rnacentral:rRNA from 1 species